CCUACGAGGGGCAGCAGUGAGGAAUAUUGGUCAAUGGGCGCGAGCCUGAACCAGCCAAGUAGCGUGAAGGAUGACUGCCCUACGGGUUGUAAACUUCUUUUAUAAAGGAAUAAAGUGAGGCACGUGUGCCUUUUUGUAUGUACUUUAUGAAUAAGGAUCGGCUAACUCCGUGCCAGCAGCCGCGGUAAUACGGAGGAUCCGAGCGUUAUCCGGAUUUAUUGGGUUUAAAGGGAGCGUAGAUGGGUUGUUAAGUCAGUUGUGAAAGUUUGCGGCUCAACCGUAAAAUUGCAAUUGAUACUGGCAGCCUUGAGUACAGUUGAGGUAGGCGGAAUUCGUGGUGUAGCGGUGAGAUGCUUAGAUUUCACGAAGGACUCCGAUUGCGAAGGCAGCUUACUAAGCUGCCACUGACAUUGAUGCUCGAAAGUGUGGGUAUCAAAGAGGAUUGGAUACCCCAGUAGUC
rnacentral:rRNA from 1 species